GGAAAUCUCUCUGCCAUAGCUCUUCUUCUCUUCUUCAUAGCUCUUCUUCUUCUUCUUUCUUUACCAGCCAAGUGUGCUCUGGGAUAUUUGAUGCUCCCUGAAAAUGGCAGUGGCAAUGGAGGCUGCCGUCUCCUCCACACCUCGUGUGUGUUGAUACACACAGGUGCAUCCGAGUGUCCCAGCAGCUGUGAGUCUAUGGGUGGCACUGAGACACAGGAUUCUCAGAAGCAGCACUGGAAGUCCCACUCUUGAGCACAGUCUCAUUGUUUUUUAAGGGUCUAGAGAGGGUUGUGUGUGCACAUACACGCGAUGUGCAUUAAAUACACACUCAGUGUAACACCAGCCAGGACGGCUCUUUUCCUUUCAGGAUGGUGACCCUGUCUGAGGGAAGCUGAUGAAGCCCUACAGGAGGGAGAUCUGAGUCAUGAGAGCCUUCUCAUGGAAACUUACUUCCUGGCCUCCUUUUUGCUGCACACUGAGAACAGAAGAUGAACUAGGACGUGGUGGAGGGAAACUGCAAUGGUCCUGGAGAGAAGCAGAGGUUUGCUGGCUUAGAAGAAAGCUUGCUUCCCAGGUUUCAGUGUUACCUGAAUUGUACAGAGGACUGACUUUGACCAGGCAAAAAGGCCUUUUGGAAUUAAGCCAGCCAGAAGAAGCAAACCCCCUAAAAAAUCAUGUCCCAGUAGGUAAAAGGGUAAGAGAGAGAGAAGAAAAGUUUGGGAUCAUUGGUAAGGAAACAAGAGCUCCAGCAUAA
rnacentral:lncRNA from 1 species